GCAAGUCGAACGGAAGUCGUAAUAUAAAUGGAACAAAGAUUAUCAGAGUGAAGUUAAAUUACAAUGGCUUAGUGGCGGACUGGUGAGUAAUGUGUAAGUAACCUGCCUAUUAGAGGGGAACAACAGUCGGAAACGAUUAGCUAAUACCGCAGUAUGCCAUAAGAAUCGCAUGGUUCAAGUGGGAAAGGAGCAAUCCGCUAAUAGAUGGACUUAUAUCUGAUUAGUUAGUUGGUGGGGUAACGGCCUACCAAGACGACGAUCAGUAGCCGAACUGAGAGGUUAAACGGCCACAUUGGGACUGAGAUACGGCCCAGACUCCUACGGGAGGCAGCAGUCGGGAAUAUUGCGCAAUGGAGGAAACUCUGACGCCAGUGACGCCGCGUGCAGGAAGAAGGUUUUCGGAUUGUAAACUGCUUUAGACAGGGAAGAAGAAAGUGACAGUACCUGUAGAAUAAGCUCCGGCUAACUACGUGCCAGCAGCCGC
rnacentral:rRNA from 1 species